AACGAACGCUGGCGGCAUGCCUAACACAUGCAAGUCGAACGAGACCUUCGGGUCUAGUGGCGCACGGGUGCGUAACGCGUGGGAACCUGCCCUUAGGUUCGGAAUAACUCCCCGAAAGGGGUGCUAAUACCUGAUAAUGUCUUCGGACCAAAGAUUUAUCGCCUUUGGCUGGGCCCGCGUUGGAUUAGCUAGUUGGUAGGGUAAAAGCCUACCAAGGCGACGAUCCAUAGCUGGUCUGAGAGGAUGAUCAGCCACACUGGGACUGAGACACGGCCCAGACUCCUACGGGAGGCAGCAGUGGGGAAUAGUGGACAAUGGGCGAAAGCAUGAUCCAGCAAUGCCGCGUGAGUGAUGAAGGCCUUAGGGUUGUAAAGCUCUUUUACCCGGGAUGAUAAUGACAGUACCGGGAGAAUAAGCUCCGGCUAACUCCGUG
rnacentral:rRNA from 1 species